AAAAAUGAGUUCAACCUAUAAUCUCUGAUUUAAAUAAUGAAAAGGAAGAAAUUCUGCCUCAAGACUGCCUACAGAUGGAUCUGCAUUGAUGGAAAACAGGAUACAGGUCUUGGAGUCAGGAAUGUAACUCAGGAGAAGAUAAUAGAAGAAAAGCAAAGGAAGUGCGUUCCCAGUGGACAGUUGGAGAGAAAUUUGCAGUGGAAAUUCUACAGAAAGAAGAGAGACUCUGUGGAGCAGCAUGGACAGUACACACCUGCAGCAGUGAACAGCAACAUCAUCCCCGACUCAGCCAAGGCUGGAGGAGAUGCCAGCUUCCGGGAACGAGAAUAAUUUUAUGGGGACUGGUGCCAUGGCAUAGCGGAUAAAGCUGCUGCCUGCAGUGCCAGCAACCUGUAUGGAUGCUAGUUCAAGACCUUCCAGCUCCUCUGGAGUGUCCAUGCUCCUUUUCCCUUCCAGCCUCUGCUGUCACCUGGGAAAGCAGCCGAAGAUGGUCCAAGUCCUUGGGCCCCUGCACCCGUGUGGGAGACCCGGAAGAAGCUCCAGUCUCCUCGCUUCUCAUCGAUGCAAUUCCAACUGUUGUGAUCAUCUGAGGAGUGAACCAGUGGAUGGAAGACCUCUCUCUCUCUCUGCCUCUGCCUCUCUGUACUCUGCCUUUCAAAAAAAAUAAAAUAAAUAUUUUUAAAAAAUAAAAUAAAAUA
rnacentral:lncRNA from 1 species